rnacentral:rRNA from 1 species
AUUGAACGCUGGCGGCAUGCUUUACACAUGCAAGUCGAACGGCAGCGCGGGCUUCGGCCUGGCGGCGAGUGGCGAACUGGUGAGUAAUGCAUCGGAACGUUCCCAGUAGUGGGGGAUAGCCCGGCGAAAGCCGGAUUAAUACCGCAUACGACCUUUGGGUGAUAGCUGGGGACCGCAAGGCCUCGCGCUCUUUUUGCUGCCGAUGUCGGAUUAGCUAGUUGGUUUGGUAAAGGCUUACCAAGGCGACGAUCCGUAGCUGGUCUGAGAGGACGACCAGCCACACUGGGACUGAGACACGGCCCAGAGUCCUACGGGAGGCAGCAGUGGGGAAUUUUGGACAAUGGGGGCAACCCUGAUCCAGCCAUGCCGCGUGCGGGAAGAAGGCCUUCGGGUUGUAAACCGCUUUUGUUCGGGAAGAAAUCCUCUGGGCUAAUACCCCGGGGGGAUGACGGUACCGGAAGAAUAAGCACCGGCUAACUACGUG